rnacentral:lncRNA from 1 species
UUCCAGGUAGGAUGAAGUGUCUGCGAUUGUUUCAUUUCUUUAUUGACUAGUUUCUGCUCCUUGCUCUUCACUGAAAAUGCAUGGGUAUCACAAUAAGGGAGACUGUGUCUAUCAACAAAUAAUUUAAAAAAUCCCGUUAGGACAAUUACGUUUUCCCUUGUCUCCUCAAAAGAGGCUUCUCUGCCAGCAUAUAUGAAGGAUGAGACAGUAACCGUGAUGGCAGCUGAUUUACUGAGGGGUGUUCUGUGUAAGCACCGAAGAAUUGAUGCUUUUGAACUGUGGCGUUGGAGAAGACUCUUGAGAGUCCCUUGGAUUGCAAGGAGAUCCAACCAGUCCAUCCUAAAGGAGAUCAGUCCUGAAUAUUCACUGGAAGGACUGAUGCUGAAGCUGAAACUCCAAUACUCUGGUCACCUGAAGUGAAGAACUGACUCACUGGAAAAGCCCCUGAUGCUGCGAAAGACUGAAGGCAGGAGGAGAAGGGGACGACAGAGGAUGAGAUGGCUGGAUGGCAUCACUGACUCAAUGUACAUGAGUUUGAGUGAACUCCGGGAGUGGGUGAUGGACAGGAAGGGCUGGCGUGCUGCAGGCCACGGGGUCGCAGGGAGCGGGACAUGGCUGAUUGGCUGACCUGAGCUGUUCUGUGUAAGAGAAUAUGCUCAGUGCUCAGCAUGGAUGCUUGUUAAUGCUUGUCAUUCUCCUAGGAGAUAAAUCCUGUAUUGUACAGAUGAGGAAACCAAAGCUCUCUACUUCUAGAAAAGGCUCACCACGCCAGAGAGAAAUCCAGUUCCCGUUAGAAGACAGGCUGUGUGUUAGCUGUCUUACAGGGGAAGGUCUCUCCUCUUUGAAGGAUGAAAUGUUCUCUUCAGUCACCUCUUCCUAUUCUCAGCCUGUCCACGCAUGUCUCCAUCCACGUGGAGUGGGUUUUACUCCUGGUGGGCACAGGGUCUGCAUUUCUCCCCUUCAUUCCAGUGAUGCCGGCGUCUCACGUCCAGCUGCUGUUCCCGCCCCAGGCCGCCUUCCCGUCGGGAUCUGGACCAGCCUCGGCCACUCUGCUGGGUCCUCCCGUGGGUUCCUGGGUUCAGGCCUGUGGUUGGGAUUCCCUGGCGAUGCUGGAAGUUUUCAAGCUGAAAAGGUC